rnacentral:rRNA from 1 species
UACGUAGGGGGCAAGCGUUGUCCGGAUUUACUGGGCGUAAAGAGCGUGUAGGCGGCCACGCAGGUCCGUUGUGAAAACUGGAGGCUCAACCUCCAGCUGUCGACGGAAACCGUGUGGCUAGAGUCCGGAAGAGGAGAGUGGAAUUCCUGGUGUAGCGGUGAAAUGCGCAGAUAUCGGGAGGAACACCGGUGGCGAAGGCGGAUCGUCUGGGCCAUUACUGACGCUGAGGAGCGAAAGCGUGGGGAGCGAACAGG